rnacentral:rRNA from 1 species
UACGUAGGGGGCAAGCGUUGUCCGGAUUUAUUGGGCGUAAAGAGCGUGUAGGCGGCCGUACAGGUCAGCUGUGAAACUCGAGGCUCAACCUCGAGACGUCGGUUGAAACCGUACGGCUAGAGUCCGGAAGAGGAGAGUGGAAUCCCGGUGUAGCGGUGAAAUGCGCAGAUAUCGGGAAGAACACCCGUGGCGAAGGCGGCUCUCAGGGACGGUACUGACGCGUGAGACGCGAAAGCGUGGGGAGCGACAGG